rnacentral:tRNA from 1 species
GCCGGGGUGGCGAAACUGGCAGACGCGCAGGUUUUAGGAACCUGUUCCCGUAAGGGAUUGGAGGUUCAAGUCCUCUCCCCGGCACUA